rnacentral:rRNA from 1 species
AGCGAACGCUGGCGGCAGGCCUAACACAUGCAAGUCGAACGAACCUUUCGGGGUUAGUGGCGGACGGGUGAGUAACACGUGGGAACGUGCCUUUAGGUUCGGAAUAACUCAGGGAAACUUGUGCUAAUACCGAAUGUGCCCUUCGGGGGAAAGAUUUAUCGCCUUUAGAGCGGCCCUCGUCUGAUUAGCUAGUUGGUUGAGGUAAUGGCUCACCAAGGCGACGAUCAGUAGCUGGUCUGAGAGGAUGAUCAGCCACAUUGGGACUGGGACACGGCCCAAACUCCUACGGAAAGCAGCAGUGGGGAAUCUUGCGCAAUGGGCGAAAGCCUGACGCAGCCAUGCCGGGUGAAUGAUGAAGGUCUUAGGAUUGUAAAAUUCUUUCACCGGGGACGAUAAUGACGGUACCCGGAGAAGAAGCCCCGGCUAACUUCGUG